ensembl:lncRNA
GGUACUUAAGUGCAUACCUAAAUACCCACAUGAACAGUCAGACGCACUUUUAAGUGUCUUGCUGAAUCUGGGCCAUACAGAAGCUGAACACAUCAAGCAGCUACCCAAAUUGAGUUCCCGUAAGAGAAAAUUGAUUUCCAAAGUGUAUUCCCUCUGGCUGUUAACACUGAAGAAGAGUCUGGAUGAGCUGAUCCAACUAGAGAUGGCUGAAGAUCCCUCUGGACUGCAUGCUCCUUGGAAAGCACAUCUGAAGAUGAGCAUAUCACUCCUAGAAUUUGAAAGACAUUUGAACAUGAAAUUGAAUGGGUCUGCCUCAGUAAAUAUAGGAGCAUAACAUACAUAAUCAAAAAAUCUAAAAAUGACACAACAAAAGUUACAGGAACGCAAUCAAAAUUUCAACCACGCCUGAAUUAUCCUACAUUCAAAAGAAAGAAUACACAGGUGUAAUAGGAUACUCAGCAUGUAUACCUCCAACCACUAAGAUCAAGC